AGGACAUACCCACUGUGAAGGGUAGAGGCAGCAGUUUUCUGUCCCGGUUCAACUGUAACUUUAGCAGGAAACACUUUCAAUGUACACAACGCCUUUCAGUCAAAAAUCUCCAGACACCUUUAUAAACAUUCAGCGUGUUUAUUAGCACGAGUCACUUGAAUUCAGACAUGUCACAGCAGCCCCUGUGAAGGAGCCACUAUGCCCGCAGACACGGAGAGGGCAAGCGACGUGCCCUGCAGCCCCCAGCGAGCGAGCCCGCGGCAGCGCCUGGAGACCAGCUCGCGGGAGUCCUGCCAGCAGCACCCGGAGAAGAAGGGGCGGCAGCUGACUCUCCUCAGACAGUUACACCGCGCUGCCGGGGCACAGGGACCCUGGCUAACGCCCGUCUUGAGCUGGCAACGGGGGACCUUCAUACUGCAUCACAUCAAGUCCAAAUCAUUAGAGGAAUGCCUCUGCAUGCACUGAUCAGAGGAUGUUUGGAUUCUGAUGUCAGCCCAGUUCUGCAGCCUGACAGGCUAUGGAGCUGUGCUAAGGCUUUGAAGAGAGCCCAACCCAGAUGGGUUGUGACUGCCAUGCAAGCCCUUGAAGGUGGUGAAAUUAAAAUAAAGGAUGCAGAGCACCUCCUUUCCUGGCUACUGGUGGGGAAACCAGAGGUUGAGAACACCAGAAAGUGGAUGAAUUAUGAAGGAUUAAUUGACUGACAUUGUGAUCUAUCAUCUGUUAUACUGAUAAUAAAAAAAUUAUAGGUCAAAGUGCCAAAUAUUGUGCACAUUUUCAA